ACUGUGGAGUGCUAUACAAACUGUAGUAGCUAUAGGCAAGGCGGAGCACGUUGAAACAGUAA
rnacentral:ncRNA from 1 species